UUUUUAGCAUAAGGCCUACGCGAGCGGUCGCAUGUGUGCUUAAACCUUUUCAAAACAUUUUUAAUAUUUUAUUUAGGAAGGAAAGGGUUUUCUAACACAAGGACGAUGCGUGCGAUCACACAUGUGCUAGAACCCUUAAAAUAAUAUUUUUUUUUAAUUUUUCUUAUAAAGGAGAAGGAAAAGAUCUUCAGCACAAGGCCUACGCGAGCGGUCGCACGUGUGCUUAAAUCUUUCCAAAACAUUUUUAUUUGAUUUUUUGUAAAAGAGAAGGAAAAGAUCUUCAGCACAAGGCCUACGCGAGCGGUCGCACGUGUGCUUAAAUCUUUCCAAAAUAUUUUUAUUUGAUUUUUAAUUUUUCUAAAAGAAAAGGAAAAGAUUUUCAGCACAAGGCCUAUGCGAGCGAUCGCACGUGUGCUUAAACCUUUUCAAAAUAUUUUUAUUUGAUUUUUAAUUUUUUAUGAUAUUUUAUACUUUUUAUUUUAACAAUCAAACAAUAAUAAAACAAAUGUCAAAGCUAAAGAAAUAAAAAAAAAACAAAGACAAUAAAAAACAUCACAGUCCAAGCCCAAUAAGAAUAGGGGUGCAAAGAUUAAAACCGAGGGUGCUGAAAAAUAUUGAAGCUUCUGGCCUUGUAGUCUGUUAGGGGUGUAUGGCCAAAAAUGGAGGUGCAACUCGAAAUUUGUUGAUCCAGAUCCAAGAGGUGCAGCAGCAAAGUUGGAGGUGGCAUGUAGUAGUUGCUGGCCAGGUCCAAGGUUUUUUUUUUAUUUGCAGAAUUGGAUUGGGAGUACGAAUGGGAAUGCAAGAGGUGGCAGGAAGAGAAAGAACACAACCCAAUAGCCAAGCCCAAUAGCGUAGGGGUGUAUGGCCGAAAAUGGGGUGCGGAUAACACGUUUCGGUCCAAUCCUCCUUUCUUGGUUUGCAGACAUGGAGUAUAGGUGCAAAUAGCAUUGGUGUGGUGGCAGGAGAAGAAAAUGGGCCCAACAGCUGGNAUCUUUGAUUUUGGUUGCAAUGGUUACGGUAAGGGAUAGAGUUUUGUUGAAGAUAAUGGUGAUGGAUUGUAGAUGUUGACAGAGAAUCCAAGCAUCGAAAGAGAUGAAUUUAUCUUUAUAUCUGUUUACUGGAAUGAUGAUGAGUAGUAAGGAUUUUUUUUUGAGAAAAAUUGGUACAGGAAAGGUAGGCUACUAUCAGGCGAGGGGUGUGUGUCUAUAAAUGGAAGAGGUAGUGAGUGAGUGUGUGGGUUAUGGAUGAUAGGUGUUUCUUCUGUUUUCCAGGUAAUGAACCAGAUGAAGAUGAUGAUUGAGGAUGGCAGUGAACGGUUAAGGAGAAUGCCGGUUGGGGGGAAUUGGUUUCGGAGAGGAUGGUUUUCUCGAGUUGAUGGGGGAAUUGGUUUCGGAGAGGAUGGUUUUCUCGAGUUGAUGGGGGAGUCGUGUGUCUGUUGAGUGAUGGAGAGAAAAAGAGUGUCUCCGUUGGGUGAUCGUAGUGAUGGUGAGGAUGAAGUUGGUUUGAGCCUGAUGCUCUGAGGCAUGGUGUGUGUGUUGAUUGCUGGAUCAUAACUGUUUCUCCUCUAUUUCCAAUACGCACACCCAAAACCAAAUUGUUUCUUUUUUCCUUUCUUUUUUUUUUCACGUUUUUUCUUUUUUUUUUCGUUUUCCUUUUCUUUUCUUUUGUUUUUUUUUUAUUUUUUUUGUUUUUUUCUUUUCUUUUUUUUCUUUUUUUCCUUUUUGAAUUAAAUCAAAUAGUAAAAUAAAAAUUAAUAAAACAAAAAAAUAAAAUAAAAUAAAAAUAAAAUAAAAUAAAACAAAAAAUAAAAACAAGUCCUAUUAUUCAAUUACCCGGACGAAAUUGGGUGUUGACAGUUGCCCCUCUUUACUUAGAUUUUACUGGAUAAUAUGAAAAUAUGAUAUUUUCGUAUUAUCUGAGUAAAAGUUAAGUAAAGAUAGAAACACUAAUUUGGUCUGGGUUUAAAUUAUGAAAGAAGACGAACAAAAAUAAUUCAAGUCGUGAUGUCAAAAGACCAAUGCCAAGCAGAGGGCCUCAAACAGAAAACUAAAACCUGGAUUUGACCAUUGCCUCGCAGAGGGCCAAACUCACAGAACAGAAAUUUAAAUCUGACCAUUGCCACGCAGAGGGUCGAUAACAGAAAACUAAAACCUGGAUUUGACCAUUGCCUCGCAGAGGGCCAAACUCACAGAACAGAAAUUUAAAUCCGACCAUUGCCGCGCAGAGGGUCGAUAACAAAAAACUAAAACCUGGAUUUGACCAUUGCCUCGCAGAGGGCCAAACUCACAGAACAGAAAUUUAAAUCCGACCAUUUCCACGCAGAGGGUCGAUAACAAAAAACUAAAACCUGGAUUUGACCAUUGCCUCGCAGAGGGCCAAACUCACAGAACAAAAAUUUAAAUCUGACCAUUGCCUCGCAGAGGGCCGAUAACAGAAAAAUAAAACCUGGAUUUGACCAUUGCCUCGCAGAGGGCCAAACUCACAGAACAAAAAUUUAAAUCUGACCAUUGUCACGCAAAGGGUCGAUAACAGAAAACUAAAACCUGGAUUUGANNAUUGCCUCGCAGAGGGCCAAACUCACAGAACAAAAAUUUAAAUCUGACCAUUGCCACGCAGAGGGUCGAUAACAGAAAACUAAAACCUGGAUUUGACCACUGCCUCGCAGAGGGUCAAACUCACAGAACAGAAAUUUAAAUCUGACCAUUGCCACGUAGAGGGUCGAUAACAGAAAACUAAAACCUGGAUUUGACCAUUGCCUCGCAGUGGGUCAAACUCACAGAACAAAAAUUUAAAUCUGACCAUUGCCACGCAGAGGGUCAAUAACAGAAAACUAAAACUUGGAUUUGACCAUUGCCUCGCGGAGGGCCAAACUCACAGAACAGAAAUUUAAAUUCGACCAUUGCCACGCAGAGGGUCGAUAACAGAAUACUAAAACCUGGAUUUGACCAUAUCCUCGCAGAGGGCCAAACUCACAUAACAGAAAUUUAAAUCCGACCAUUGCCACGCAGAGGGCCGAAACAAAAAGAAAAACUUGAGCUUGAGGUGCCAGGCGAGUUGGGCUUUGAGUGCCAGACAAAACUUGGCUUUUGAAACUUUGAAAUUGCCAGAUGAAACUAUUUUUUGAAGUUUUGAAAUUGCCAGACGACACUGCGCUUUUGAAACCUUGACAUUACCAGAUGAAACUGGGCUUUUGAAACUUUGAAAUUGCCAGAUGAAACUGGGCUUAUGAAAAAUGGUCAGAUGAGACUGGGCUUUUGAAACUUUGAAAUUGCCAGAUGAAACUGGGCUUUUGAAACUUUGAAAUUGCCAGAUGAAACUGGGCUUUUGAAACUUUGAAAUUGCCAGAUGAAACUGGGCUUAUGAAAUUUGAAAUUUGAAAUUUUUUUGUUAUUUUCGACAAAAACUUGAUUUCUGAAAAGCAACAAGGAGUUGAAACCCUUCAUGACAAAGUGUCAAAAUAUUGAUGCAGGAUCAGGUUGUGUCAAAACCCCAAUAUGAGAGAAAAACAUGAUCAACAAGAAACAAAAUCACUUGAAAAAGAACAUUUGAAUGUCAUUUUUUAUUUUUGAAGAAGGACUCGACCACCAUUCAUAUGAAUGAAGAGGGUUUCGAUCCGAAAGAUUUUCUUUUUGAUGAAUUGAUGAAAAACAUUUGCUUUAUUUUGCAUUUCUUUUUGCUUUAGUCAGUCAUCUUACUUGCAAUCAUCAAACUGAUCUUUAUUUUCAAGAUUUUGUGAAAUCUGAGUAAUGUCAUACAUCUCGAGGUCUAACUUGAGAUUAUUACAUUUUGACUUUUCUUCCAAGACAUCAUGCACACACGCUUGAAUUUAUUGGCAAAAGGAUGGUUUUGAAGAGAAUGAGAGUUGUUUGGAAUGACUUGGAAAGCUGGGACAGGCACGUGGGCACUACAAUCCCCAAAGGAGAUAUAAUAUGUUAGUGUCAAGACAAGACACGAGAUACCAAAAACUUUUGCCCCGGUUUGGUGUUUGGGAAAAUGAGCUGGGGUUUCGAUCCAUGAACAUUAGGGUGAGAAAAUCAAGUGAGACUCGCAAAGUUGCCCCGGUCUUGGGAUUAUGGAUUGAUGAAAAGCUCGUGUCAGACUCACAUAGUUAUCCCAAAUUUUUAUUGUGUAUGGGUUGAUGAAAAAAACUCAUGUGAGGUUCACGAAGUUGCCCCAGUUUUUCUUUGGCAAGGGGUUCCAUUUGGAAGAAGUAGUGGGCAUGAAAGGGAUAGGCUAAAAGGAUGGCCCCGAAUUUGUUUGAUUUUUCUUUUGCAUGCUUCUGGUUAGAUGGCAAGGUAAUCCCCUCUUCCUGAGACAUUUAUUUUUUCUUCUUUUCUCUCUUUUUUUCUUUUUUUUCUUUCUUCUUCUCUUCUCUCUUUUUCUUUUCCGACACAUUGAAAGUCAUUUCUUCUUAUCGCGAAAUUAAGCUUUAUGAAAAUUUUAGCAAGCAUUAUCCAAUCUGUGUGGACUUUAUUAAGCUUUUAACGUGGCUAAGGGCUAAAAGGUAUUGAAAGAAAGGAUAUAAAGGCCCAAAUGAAUGUUUGUUGGUUAUAAAUUUUUUGGAAACAAGGGUUGUCAUCUAGGCAUUGCAUCAAUUAUUUGACAUUUUGGGCACUUUGUUUUUUUUUUAACUUUGGUUUUCAUUCUUUUUGCUCAACAUCACUUUGUGAUUUCCUUUUGUUCUUUUUGUUUUUCUUUGGUUUGUUAUUCCCUCUUCUUGAUGAAUUCUUCGUUUGAUCAUUGAGUGCUCUUAUUUGCAUCAUGAGUUGACUCCUACCUGAUGACAACCCUUGCUUGGGGAUGAUUUUGAAAAAAGAAUUUAUUUUUGGCUCAAAUAGGGUGACAAUGGAUAUAUGUUUUUGCUUUUUGGAUGAAGAAAAGAUGGCCACACAUCAUUUCAAAUUCUGAUUGCUCUAUUUUCAAAAGAUUAAUUUUGCGAUUAGAUGACCUCAACAUUAGUCGUUUUUUCUUUUUUUUUUUUAUUAUUUCUAGACUGCCCUUUCGGGUUUUCAAUCUAGUGGACUUAUUCUCUUUUUUUUUUUGAAAAUUCUUUUGUUCUUUUGUUUGCCUCAAUGGAUUCANGGAUCACCCAACUAGCGCAAGCGAGAAAAUUUUGGCCAGACCAAUCUGCCCCAGUAUGAAGGUUUAUUUUGUUACUUGGGGCAAUGACAGUGUUUGUGAGGAAAAUCCUUUAUUUUGGGAAAGUGAAGGAUGUAGGUUUUCAAGCAACAUGUGCAUAAAUGUCUAGAAAGGAAACGUCGAAUUAUUAUUAUUUUUUUAGACAUUUGACCUCGGAAAAGUCUGACACUACAACUUUUGUUUUUUAUUGCCAUUUUUCAUUUUUUUUUUUUGCUAUUUUCCAAAAACAAGAGUUUGAAGAUUUGCAAGAAAGACAAAUGACUCAAGAUUGCCAUAAUUUUUUCAAUUUUUUUCACAAUACCCUUUCAGAACUCGAUUUCCAACACUACUUGGAGAAACCCUGUAGAGAAAGUUCGCAUUUAAAGUCAUGGAUCACGGCGCGAUAUCAAUGAACACAGAUCUUUUGGCAAGAUACUUCACAAAAUCAAAUUCACUUGUACGAUGACUUAUGUUUUCCUAUGUGUUUUUGGAGCCCGCAUCAUUGUUUCAUAGCAUCUGUAGAGACAUUCUCAAGCCUUGCCUUAGUGUAGGGUUGACUUUCUUUACACUUUAAUGAUUCUGAAUCUAUCAAAACUUGUCUUUGCGCUUGACAACAGACACUUUUUGUGUAAUGACCGAUAGCCCCUUCAUGGUAAAUACCUUUCGUAUCGUGAGUCUUGAAGUAUUGAGGGUCUAAAGGCUUCAUGUAACAAUUAGAGAUAAUGCCUUUUUGAAGCAGACUUGGAAGCAACGUUGCUUAAGUCGUAUGUAUAGGAGUGAAGCUCACAGGCUCUUUUCUCUUGAUCAAACAUUUUUCUGCCCAGCGGCUUAAUGAGAAGUUGAGUUUGGAUCAAAUAUCCCAUUUGUCUUGCAAUUAUUUUAAGUGAAGGGUAGGCCAACGGGAUUUGAGCUAUAGGAGGUGAUUAAACUCUUUGCUUUCUUCUCUUCGCAAGCUUAAACUCGACUUGUUCAUAUUUGCUAUCAUGGCAUGACCUUGUGUGACUGUUCCAAUCCUCACACUAACUUCAAUUCUUUCUUCAAGUAUCCUCAGGUCUACAAAGUUUGAGGAACACUGCUCACCAUGGUCUCAUAGAAGGGUGAUCGCAAAGUAUUUAGGAAUGUGUCAACCAUCUCGUUAUCACUCAUAAGAGACUUUCCUUGAGAAACACUUUUUCCACCUUUAGGCAUACUCUUUGAAUGAUUUUGACUGUUUUUUCACCAUACUUUGUAGUUGUAAUCUAUGAGAUGCCACAUUCGUGUUAUAUUUGAAAUGCUUCAAGAAAGCACCCACCAGAUCCUCCCAAGACUGGAUGCACAAAUGUUCAAGAUGAUAGCAUCAGUUUAAUGUCAUGCCAAUCAAACUACCUUGAAAGGAAUGAAUUAGCAACCUUUCAUCACAUGCAUAAACGACCAUUUUCUUCCCAUACGCCAUAAGGUGGCUUAUAAGACAAGUGGUCCCUCUGGACAAUUUAAACUUUGGGAGAUAUCACCACAUCUGGGACUAAGCAUAGCUCUACAACAUUUUCAAACCUAGCGCUUCAUUCACCUUCUAUGGCUGUCAUCCUUUUUCAACAUUUCAAAUUUACCCCUGUCUACCUCAACAUCCACUGGUAUGCAAACAGGGCAAGAAUAUUUCAACUUAGAUUGCCUUGUCAUCGUCAUGCUCACAAUACUUUAUUAAAGCCUUUUCCUAGGGACCAUGAAAGUGGUUGCCCCAAGCUUGUUCUCCAUUUCAACUGCAUUAUCUUUAUCCUUUUGAGUGUAAACUUGCCCCCGAGUACACUCCUGAGGGUGAAGUGUAAUUUAGGGGAAGACCAUAUGAGGGGAAAUUUUGGGCCUCUCGAUCUUUGUGUUGAGGCUGAGGUGCACAGGAAUCUCCAGUUCCCUGUAAGGCAUUUAGAGCCUCUAAGGCUUGGCUCAUUUGCCCCUUCAAUUGUUGGAUAUCAACUUUCAUCCUUUCUUGAACUUCUCCUUGGUUCUCCAAGAUUUGGUAACUGGUUCGAGUCCUUUAGGGUAUCUUGAUUUUUUUUAUUAAUUUUAUUAGAUGAAACACAAGAGAAAAAGAAAAUAAAAAUGAAAAGAAAAAGAGAAAACAAUGUAGUUCAAAUUCUCUAGUCAAAAAUUAUAAAGCUGUGAAAAACAUUGCUCCGGUAUAAUCUGGAAAUUAACACGAAACAGAGUCAACAGGGUAGCUCAUCAUUCAGAAUUUCACAAAAUGUGAAGCAUAGGAAGUCUUUUUCAACUAUCUUGGGGCCUUAACCAUCAGAUUUUUCAUUUUUCCCAUUGAUUUCUUGCAGCAAUUGAGGUAUGUUUCAAUCCCCUUUAAGCGGGUUAAAAUAUCGGCAAUGCAGACCCAGCCUCGGCUAAUGAUUUAGGAACGUUUUCAAUGGCUUCAUUGGUAAGGGAAGCUAGUUGUGAGAGGCUUCACUUUCAAUUCGCCCUUGUUCAACAACAUGUUCCUUCAUUUGAAUUAGCAAUUCUUGAUGUCUCCUUUUUAGCAUGAUGUUAACCUUCCUUCUUUAGUUUGGCCACUGCUGCUUUCACACUUUGUUCAGUAUUGUGAAAUUACUUUUCACCAUUUGGGUCAGGAGAAAUUAACCUGAAUGGCAUCUUGACUAUAUUAACCCUCUUUGUGAUCAAUCUGGCUAAGGGAAAUCUUUCGUUAAUGAUCCAUGAUCUUAGGCCUCUCUUCGAACUCUAUAGCUCGCCCUUUGUUCAACAACAUACUCUUUCUUCUGAAUCACCAGUUUUUUGACGCCUUCUUUUUUUUUUAGCUCGACGAUGUCGUUCCUCCUUCAAUUCUACCACUACUGCUCUCACCCGCUGCUUAGCAUUAUGAACUUGUUUCUCGCAGUUUAGGUAAGGAGAAAUUAACUUGAAUGGCAACUUGAUUGUCUUAACCCUCUUCUUGAUCAAUUUGGCUAAGGGAAUCUUUCACUAAUAGUCCAUGAUCUCGGGCAUCUCUCCAAGUGAACAACGUUGCCCCAAGUGUCCCUAGCAUGAAGCAUUUCAGUAGAUAUCUCUUCCUCAGAAGAUCUACAAUGUGGUAAGAGAUCCAGGUGUUGGCGACCCUCUCAUAGGAUACCCAAAUUAUUUUUUUUUCUUUUUUUUCUUUCUUUUUGUGUUUUGUUUUUUUUUCUUUUGUUCCUUUUUCUAUUUUUUUUUUGUUAACACAUACACAACAAUGAAUACCCAUGAGGGGGACAUUAGAGUAAUUCUCGCAACGGCGUGUGAUACAUGAUAUUUGCUGCCAAGAGAUACGUCAUUUAAACUUUUCCUUUUCUCAGCCUGCACAAAGUUGCACUCAUUCAUUUACUCCCUUUCAUCUUGAGUUUAACCGCAAUAGUUCACUCACGGGACAUGUGGCAUUCAAAGUACCCCUACUCAUGCGAAAGAUGAACCACAUAGGGAACACUAGUAAACAACAUAACAUNUUCCCGACCUUUAGCUCAUGACACUGAUUAAGAGUCCCAUAAAUUUCAGUUAGGACAACCAAGACUGGACUCUCAAAGCAAACUUUUUAUCCUGUAACUGCACUCAUUGCGGCGUAGUCAACAAAAUCCCUUGUACUAGGAAAAANCAUGACACCAUAGUCGAUAAGAGCUAGUACAUUCACGUGUUUCCCACUUUUCCUCCUCGGUCAAUCAAUGCAAGAACCACCAUAGGUAUCCUUGAGGAAGGUCUCUUGUUGUACAUUUAAGUAUGAAUUCACUCUCCAACUUCAUAGGGGAACUUUCAUUAUCCUUGCUAGCUGCAAAUCAGAUAUAUACUGCCCAAGGUAGUAUAAAGUGUUUCCCUUGAGGAAUACAUCUAAGGUCUCCUCAAAUUCUUCUAUUGUUGGCAUCAACUAGAAAUGGGUCAUAGUGUUGGGCUAAAACAAUAAUUAUUGUUGUCUGGACCUCCACCUCUGACAGGGUCAACAAAUUCCCACCCAUUCCUGAAUGCAUUUUUCAAGGUCAUCUUUUUCAUAUCCCUCAAGAGAUUGAUACUGCCCCCCUUGACUUCAAUGCGUAUACUUUUCUUCAAAAUGUCUAAACUUGAAUGCCCCUUGACUCAAAAUCCCAUGUGAAUUUCCAUUUUUACCGUAAUCGCGACUUUAUAAUUUCUUGGCUAGAACCCACAAAAUUUGACGAGACCACAAAAACAUGAGUAACAAAUAAAGAAUGCAGUGAUAUGUACAAGGUGCUUGAUUUUAUUAAACAAAAGUGAGGGUUAUAAGACUGCACACAUCUCCCUUUGUGCCCUAGAGAAGGUCCAACGCUUCAGAUUCAAGGUCAAGUAUAUGCAAUCUCACAAGGAUGCUUCCCUGAACCUAAAGGUCAAUGGUCACUAGAGCUAUGGCCCCCUUCAUAGCAUCUCCACAACAGUCGAGUAAUCAACUAGAUGAGGAGACACAAAUGAAGAGAACAAACUCUAGCUGGAGUUCUCACGAUAGCCAGACAGGAAGUACAUCCCAGAGUGACACCGCUACACAACUCCUCUAAUUCUAAGUUACGCUCAGACCCGGGUAUAGGGCCUCACUCAAUAGAUGCACAAAGUGUGUGUGUGAAGGGAGAAUGCAAUGCACCCAAACCCUCACCUGCAAAACAGCCAGAAGAUUCCCAGGCAGAUACAAACAUGUUUUCUACCCUAGGGUUCAAUAUACAAGCAGAUCACAUGCAAUUAUUUUAAACAUCAAACAUAGAUAAAGAAAAGGGAAAAGAAAAACACAAAGCAAAACCACAUCGAACUCGCGCAUCUAAUUAAAUGGCCUGACUCUCAGAUUUCCCUAGUGGAGUCGCCAUCUGUCGCAACCGGAAAAUCGCGACGGGACGACGAUCCAAAGAGAAAACUAAUUUGAAAAAAGUUUUGGAGUCGCCACCAUAGUUUAUUCUGGAAAACUAUGGAAAAAACCAUAAAGAGGAUAAGGCUNNNNNNNNNNNNNNNNNNNNNNNNNNNNNNNNNNNNNNNNNNNNNNNNNNNNNNNNNNNNNNNNNNNNNNNNNNNNNNNNNNNNNNNNNNNNNNNNNNNNNNNNNNNNNNNNNNNNNNNNNNNNNNNNNNNNNNNNNNNNNNNNNNNNNNNNNNNNNNNNNNNNNNNNNNNNNNNNNNNNNNNNNNNNNNNNNNNNNNNNNNNNNNNNNNNNNNNNNNNNNNNNNNNNNNNNNNNNNNNNNNNNNNNNNNNNNNNNNNNNNNNNNCGGUCCAAUCCUCCUUUCUUGGUUUGCAGACAUGGAGUAUAGGUGCAAAUAGCAUUGGUGUGGUGGCAGGAGAAGAAAAUGGGCCCAACAGCUGGCCCAAAACUUGCUAACCCUAACAGAGACAUUAGGGGUCUCAUUGAGUUCCCCAUUUGUGCAAUCAGCCUCCAACAGAUCCAGGUCCCCUUCUCUUCUGGACAAAGCAACGAGAGACACCUCCACUCAACCGGCCACCUCCGCACCAACUUCCGCCGGCCACCGUAGCCCAAUAUGCCGCCAGUGCUACGAUCGCCGCCACAGCUCCCGUCGGACUUGGUGUCGUCGGCGACACCACGCCCAACGAAACCACCGCCGGUCGCGGCGUCCUCCCCUCUUUCUCUGUUCGCGCACGAGACCAAUAAACACCCCCUUUUCCCAAUCGCCGGUGACCUCACGUCUCCCCCUAGACUGGCUUUAACCGCCUUCCGAUGACUUAAUCUGGUAGACACAGGUGGUUCCAAGCACAGGCAAGUCGCAGUGUCAGCGACUAUGGUUGUCGUCUCCCGUCGAGCCCACAGCCGCCACCGACAAGCCAACCGCACCAAGCUCUCUCCUCUUCCUCUAUUUCUCUGUUUCUAUUUUCUCACAGAACAUAGAAAGGUGUUGACGCACCUCUUCGAACUUCACUGAAUCUCAAACGCGGCACCUGCAACCAGAAUUGACUUGAAUCUUUGAUUUUGGUUGCAAUGGUUACGGUAAGGGAUAGAGUUUUGUUGAAGAUAAUGGUGAUGGAUUGUAGAUGUUGACAGAGAAUCCAAGCAUAGAAAGAGAUGAAUUUAUCUUUAUAUUUGUUUGCUGGAAUGAUGAUGAGUAGUAAGGAUUUUAUUUUGAGAAAAAAUGGUACAGGAAAGGUAGGCUACUAUCAAGCGAGGGGUGUGUGUCU
rnacentral:lncRNA from 1 species